rnacentral:lncRNA from 1 species
ACCCGAGCUAGUGCUCCCUCCAUCUGAACCUUCACCUUGGCAAGAUGAGCCUGAGCUCCAUUGAAAUCAGCCUUCAGGGCCUCGUACUGACGCCGGACCUCGUCCCUCUGGCUCACAGUCUCGUCCUUUUCACGAAGGGUCUCCACCGUGGAGGACAGCUGCUUCAAGACUUCUUCACAGCGGACCUCAGCUGUAGCUGCCCUCUCGUCAGAUUCUU